rnacentral:lncRNA from 1 species
UGCUUUAAAAGUUUUCAAUUUAAGGCAGAACCAUAAUUCUAACCUGGAGUAUUAUUUGAUACACUAGUUCAGCAUCACACAAAACCACCUUCAAGAGCUAGAUUUCAUUACUAUCUAAUCUUAGUCUUUCAAGAAAAUGCCCUAUCUGGAAAUUCUCGUGGCUGAGGAUUUUUGAUAAGAUUCUAGCAAUUUAACAUUCGGUCACUGUGCAUUUGGCCACAACGUGUAAUAAAGGCACCUCUGAUUUUUAGAAAUAGAGGAAAACACAAACUUACAGCACCUCCCCUGUGUUCUCACGUCCCAG